GAGGGAGGGACAGAUGUGGAGCUUGCCAGCUCUCCUACAGUUCUUGGCAUCUUCACGUCAGCUCCAGACACAGCAGAGACACACAGAUGCGGUCCAAGGGCUGCAUUCCAGCAGAUGAUCAUCUAGCCCAGUUGCUCCCAGCCAAGUCGACUGUCAGAAUCACCUGUGACACUGGAUUCUAGAUGUGGUCUGAGAGGUACAGAGUGUGGUUGGAUCUGGACUCCUGUCUUGAUCUAGGUACUUGAUCUGCUAGUGAACUGAAGGUGAUGCUGACUCUUUGGCAGCCACGUCAU